CAGUCGCCGCGGGAAUACAGAGGGUGCGAGAGUUAAUCGGAUUUACUGGGCGUAAAGCGUGCGUAGGCGGCUUUUUAAGUCGGAUGUGAAAUCCCUGAGCUUAACUUAGGAAUUGCAUUCGAUACUGGGAAGCUAGAGUAUGGGAGAGGAUGGUAGAAUUCCAGGUGUAGCGGUGAAAUGCGUAGAGAUCUGGAGGAAUACCGAUGGCGAAGGCAGCCAUCUGGCCUAAUACUGACGCUGAGGUACGAAAGCAUGGGGAGCAAACAGGAUUAGAUACCCGUGUAGUCCCUGUCUCUUAUAC
rnacentral:rRNA from 1 species